rnacentral:rRNA from 1 species
GAUGAACGCUGGCGGCGUGCCUAAUACAUGCAAGUCGAGCGAACAGACGAGGAUCUUGCUCCUCUGACGUUAGCGGCGGACGGGUGAGUAACACGUGGAUAACCUACCUAUAAGACUGGGAUAACUUCGGGAAACCGGAUCUAAUACCGGAUAAUAUAUUGAACCGCAUGGUUCAUUAGUGAAAGACGGUUUUGCUGUCACUUAUAGAUGGUUCCGCGCCGCAUUAGCUAGUUGGUAAGGUAACGGCUUACCAAGGCAACGAUGCGUAGCCGACCUGAGAGGGUGAUCGGCCACACUGGAACUGAGACACGGUCCAGACUCCUACGGGAGGCAGCAGUAGGGAAUCUUCCGCAAUGGGCGAAAGCUUGACGCAGCAACGCCGCGUGAGUGAUGAAGGUCUUCGGAUCGUAAAACUCUGUUAGUAGGGAAGAACAAAUGUGUAAGUAACUAUGCACGUCUUGACGGUACCUAAUCAGAAAGCCACGGCUAACUACGUG